UUUGGCAAUGUCUCUCUUUUGCAGAUGGGAUAUGCAGCAAAAGUAUGCAUGGGAAUUGAACCAGCGUUUUAUGUAGAUGCUGGCCCUCCGACAUUUGCUAUCAGCCCUUGUGGUCACAUAGCCACAGAGAAAACUGUGAAAUACUGGGCCAACAUUGGAAUUCCUUAUGGCACCGAUGGCCUUGAGGCGGCUUGUCCCUUCUGUGCUACAAGAUUAAUUGAUUAUCCAGGCUUUGUCCGCCUUAUCUUCCAGGAUGACAUGGCCUGAGAAGCAGACUUAUGUUGCCCAUUCUGGGCCCAUUUGACAUUUGAUCUAGACUCGUGCUUCUUGGGUAUAUGAGCAGUUUUAAUUUAUUGCCUAAUUUGGGAUGACAAGUUCAGAAGAAUGCCCUAACAAGACAGCCUGUAACUGAAAACUAAUGAAGCGUCAUAUGUCUGUCUUAUUAGACUGAUUUGAAAGGGGAAGCAAGAUAUGAUGAAGGCACAGUACAUUAUUUUUGUUAACCAUAGAAGAAUAUAUCAUUUGACAAUGUACCUUACGUGCUUUAGAAGUAGCAUUAAAGUAUUUUGUUCAUUA